CUAGUACUUCGUAAGCCCCAGACACAGUGCCCCAGCAAGGACAUGGUGGACCAGCAAGAACACAUAGGAACAGCAAGGACACGGUGGGCCAGCACGGACUCAGAGGGACAGCAGGGACACAGAGGGACAGCAGGGACACGGUGGGACAGCAGGGACACGGUGCACCAGCAGGGACAUGGUGGGACAGCAGGGACACGGUGGGACAGCAGGGACACGGAGGGACAGCGGGGACACAGUGGGACAGCAGGGACAUGGUGGGACAGCAGGGACACGGUGGGACAGCAGGGACACGCAGGGACAUGGUGGGACAGCAGGGACAUGGAGGGACAGCAGGGACAUCGCGCCCAGCAGGGACUCGGCAUCACCUCU
rnacentral:lncRNA from 10 species